CCUACGGGAGGCAGCAGUAGGGAAUCUUCCACAAUGGGCGAAAGCCUGACGGAGCAACGCCGCGUGGGUGAAGAAGGUCUUCGGAUCGUAAAACCCUGUUGUUAGAGAAGAAAGUGCGUGAGAGUAACUGUUCACGAUUCGACGGUAUCUAACCAGAAAGCCACGGCUAACUACGUGCCAGCAGCCGCGGUAAUACGGAGGUGGCAAGCGUUAUUCGGAUUUAUUGGGCGUAAAGGGCACGCAGGCGGUCUGUUAAGUCUGAUGUGAAAGCCUUCGGCUUAACGGGAGUAGUGCAUUGGAAACUGGGAGACUUGAGUGCGGAAGAGGAGAGUGGAACUCCAGGUGUAGCAGUGAAAUGCGUAGAUAUAUGGAAGAACACCAGUGGCGAAGGCGGCUCUCUGGUCUGUAACUGACGCUGAGGUUCGAAAGCGUGGGUAGCAAACAGGAUUAGAUACCCCGGUAGUC
rnacentral:rRNA from 1 species